GUUGUUUUUUUUUACAAUACCUAAAAUGUUUAUUUUGUACAACUAGCUUUUACUGGAUGAAAGGCAGAUUUUGAUUUACACCAAAAGAGAUGCUGAAAUAAUUUUAACCUUGGUUUAAAACGCAGUAAAUGCCAUAGUCCUAAUAUUAUUUAUCAGGACAAUUAUGGGGAAAGUCAUAUUUUCAUGCUCCACUUUUUUUUUUUAAUUUUCUUAAAUAUGGACCAAUAAUUGGGUUGGGGAGCUUGAUAUGUCAUAAACUAGGCUGCAUAGCUUGUGUUAUUCAAUUUGUCUAGUUAAUGUCUAAGCUUGAAAACACAAUUGAACCCUAUAAUGACAAUGAACAAUUUGCUGCCUACUGUACUGUUUUGUGGACCAGCAUAAUUGCGGUUCAUUUUGUAACAAAAAAAAAAAAAGAUUUCAGAAAGUUGUAUUAUUUUUGUUUUGUUUUUAAAUAUGUGUAGCCUAUUUAUAUCAGUGGUGAAUGUAUUUGUCAUUUACCAUUGAAGAACUUGAUCAACCAGUGCAAUGAAUAUGUAAAUUAGUUAUGAUGUAAUAUUACAACACACAAACACACGUUUAUAUAUACUUGAACUAUUUUGUUUGUAUAUCUUACACCAAAUUGUUUUGGCACAUUAGGGCUAAGCUUACCUGGCAAUGUUACCUCUGUGAGAGUUAUUAGUAAAUGUCACAAUGCUGUUUUUUUUUUUG